rnacentral:rRNA from 1 species
GAUGAACGCUGGCGGCGUGCCCAAUACAUGCAAGUCGAGCGAACGGACGAGAAGCUUGCUUCUCUGAUGUUAGCGGCGGACGGGUGAGUAACACGUGGAUAACCUACCUAUAAGACUGGGAUAACUUCGGGAAACCGGAGCUAAUACCGGAUAAUAUUUUGAACCGCAUGGUUCAAAAGUGAAAGACGGUCCUGCUGUCACUUAUAGAUGGAUCCGCGCUGCAUUAGCUAGUUGGUAAGGUAACGGCUUACCAAGGCAACGAUGCAUAGCCGACCUGAGAGGGUGAUCGGCCACACUGGAACUGAGACACGGUCCAGACUCCUACGGGAGGCAGCAGUAGGGAAUCUUCCGCAAUGGGCGAAAGCCUGACGGAGCAACGCCGCGUGAGUGAUGAAGGUCUUCGGAUCGUAAAACUCUGUUAUUAGGGAAGAACAUAUGUGUAAGUAACUGUGCACAUCUUGACGGUACCUAAUCAGAAAGCCACGGCUAACUACGUG